rnacentral:rRNA from 1 species
UACAGGGGGUGCAAACGUUGCUCGGAAUUAUUGGGCGUAAAGCGCGCGUAGGCGGCUACUUAAGUCGGAUGUGAAAGCCCUUGGCUCAACUGAGGAAGUGCACCCGAAACUGAGUGGCUUGAGUGCGAAAGAGGGUCGCGGAAUUCCCGGUGUAGAGGUGAAAUUCGUAGAUAUCGGGAGGAACACCGGUGGCGAAGGCGGCGACCUGGGUCGACACUGACGCUGAGGCGCGAAAGCGUGGGGAGCAAGCAGG